UACGUAGGGGGCAAGCGUUGUCCGGAUUUACUGGGCGUAAAGAGCGUGUAGGCGGCCACGCAGGUCCGUUGUGAAAACUGGAGGCUCAACCUUCAGACGUCGACGGAAACCGUGUGGCUAGAGUCCGGAAGAGGAGAGUGGAAUUCCUGGUGUAGCGGUGAAAUGCGCAGAUAUCAGGAAGAACACCCGUGGCUAAGGCGGCUCUCUAGUACGGUACUGACGCUGAGACGCGAAAGCGUGGGGAGCGAACAGG
rnacentral:rRNA from 1 species